rnacentral:misc_RNA from 1 species
AAGUCGUAACAAGGUUUCCGUAGGUGAACCUGCGGAAGGAUCAUUACAAAUCCAUCACGUCUCUCUUACCCGAGACACCGUCUAAACGUUCCGGGGAUGCCUGCCUGCCAGCCUGCUUGUCUGUCUGCCUGCCUGCCUGCCUCUUUGCGGGGUGCAGCGCAGCGCAGCGGCGAGCACAGCACAAGCAUCCCCACCCCCCUAUUAUUAAACCCCUAGUGUGACUGUUGCUUCAUAUGUACAUUCUUUGUUGAACACACACACAACACAAGAACAACUUAUAACAAUGGAUCUCUAGGCUCUU